ACAGAGUAAAUCAUUGAUAAAGCGAAGGGAAUCAAAUGUUCAAAAAGCAUCCAAUUUUUACUGUUCCAACUCCAGAGAAGACACCAUGGGUACUACAAUGCUUCAUGUUGUGACAUGUGUUGUUCUGCUUACAGUGGCUUGGGGGCUACCAUUUGCCUCUCAAGAAGAAGCCAAUGAAUUUUUAGGACUUAAGAGGCUGCCCUACCCAGCCAAUUGGCAUCCAGUCACAGUGUCUGAACAGAUGAAUGAAUACUGGGCAGCACUGAAGAAAUCAGCACAGUAUUAUGUGGACAAGAUCUUUUACUGGUACUGACAUAGCCAGGGACCACAUUAGCUCUUACAUGGAUAUGUUACAGCAACAUGGAGGGCAUCAGACUUGAUCUGUGACUCCCAAAUUUAUAUAUCUGCUUCCUCCAUGAUGUUGAUCAACUUGAUUUUUCCUGGUAUAUCAGUGCCUGAGACAAACGCUAUUAUGUCUAAUUGACAAGGAUCCAACAUAAAUGUCUUUAUCCUGUCCUGGAAUUGACAAGGGCACAUCCUGUGAAGAAAAUGUCCAGGCCUUCAGCCUGCAAUCCUAUAUCAAAGAAAUUACUUUUAAGUUGUCAUGCAUAGGGUUGCAUCUUCCAGCAGGUCUUGCCUGGGAAAUCUACCCAUUGUCACAAGUGAAUCGAAAGUAGCUGUUGUAUCUUUUGAAUGUGAGGAAUGUCCUUGUGAAUAUAAUAUUAAUUUUGGAAUCUUGUUCAUGAACUGGAUUAUUCUUAGGGAUUGCUCACAAAUUAUAAUUUAAUUAAGAUUGUCCAUAUCCUAUGCAGAAGCAAUAUGGGAGUGUCAUAUUUUAAAAAAGCACUGCUGUUGCUACUGCAUUGUUUAAUCCCAGAGAUUGAGGAAUCUAUGCAACAACUUCUUUACCUGUGACUUUAUUUAUAGUUCCUUCACUUUUGUGAACUUCAUAAAGAUCCAGUAACCUGUAUAUCACACUGCCUGUCCAGAUGCCUGUAAUCCAAAGCAAGACGUUCAAGGUGGUGUACAUAAUGCUCCUGCCUUCUGUUUUCCCUACAACAACACAUUGCGAGAUGGGUUAGGCUGAGACAGAAUGACUGGCCCAAAGUAACCGAGCUGGUGGCAAUUGCUGCUGAUCACUUGGGUUCUUGGUCAACAACUUGGCAUCAUUUGCAUACAAAGUAUGUGUACAUUCAUGUCCUCAAUUAACCAAACUCUAGCAUCGAUAAAAUCAUUCUUGUACAUUUAUCAGUUUCUUAUAUAGUCAAGAAAAUAUCACACAUUCUUGUCUUAUUUCCUGGUCAAUGUUGAACCACUAAGUAUUUUUUCCUAAUGUAUGUUUUUGUUCCACCAUAUACCACUCUUAAUACAUUCAGCAACUAACCUUUGUGCAAACAGUACCUACUCAUUGUAUCAUAUGGUUUCUCUAAAUUAAUCAAUGUGUAACCUUUAUUUAUCUACCUGGGAAUAUUAGUCUUUCAUGAAAAUAGAUGUCACAUAGCAGAAUAUAUGAACUUUGAAAUAACACUGAAACAGUAGAGAAAUCAAACCAUCUCUUUGAAAAUUCAGACUAUAUAGGUUUUCCACUAAGCAGGUGUUCAGUAUAAAAAUGAAUGACAGAACCCUUCUACACUCUAGUCAGUGUGUGAUGUUUGCAUAAUACCUCCUGAAUAGUUCUGGUCAAGUACUUCAAAAGCAAGUUGCCUCAUCAAACAGAGAGGAAGAAUGGGGACAAGUAUAUUAGUUCCCCACUUCUCUGUCACAAUUUCCAUCACACUCCAAGAACUGAAUAGUCUCCUAUAUCAUUCUCCAUGCAGUUCACAAUUCUAGACUAUAUUCCAUACACUUGAACAAGACUAGUAUCUACAUAUUUAUUUGUGUUUGCUAAUUCAUAAGCACAACAUCAAAGAAAACAUAUUCUGCUUUGCACUAAGACUGCAAUUUUAGACCUUUUACCUGGGAGCAAGUCCCACUCAAUAAGAUUUCAGUUGAGCAGUUAUGAAUACAUUGUUCAGAGAGUUCAUGGUACAUGUUACCCUUUAUCUGCAGAUAAACCAACCUUUCUUCCUUCCCCUUUUAUUCCUGUAUUAUCCUGCAAUAUCCUUUUCUCUUAUUUCAAAAGAUGCUGCUAUUAUUUUUUGCACCAUAGACUGGAAUUGUGAAUCAUAAUUUCUUUUAGCAUUAAUAUGUUAUAUUUUUUCAGCAUUUUAAUUGUCAUGAAAAUAGUUGCCUAUUUAACUUUUUAUCAACAUACCCUAAUGGCAAAUCCAACUUUCAUUCCAAGAAUUAUGGGGCCAUGCACACAUAUAACGUACCCAGAAUGUAAAAAAGUAUACCAGCUGUCAGAUGGUGGUAGCGGAAGGGAUUACCCCCAAUUCUACUAAGAUGCAUAGAUAUAACCAUCACUAAUUUCUUCAUACUGGCACAUGUGAGUAGUUCAAUCUAGGGAACAGUAAUACAUUCUGAGUGUUCUUACACACAUCCUUUGCAGGACAGUGUGUAUGAGGUGUGUGUUCUUCCUACUUUUAAUUAUGAAAAUAGCAUUUUGAUUCCCUGGGGUCUAUUCAUAAGAAAAUAUCUGGUUAUCUAGCAUGAUUUCUGGACACUAGGAAGCAAAAAUAAAUUAAAAUACUGACGGAGAGUUUAGAUCAGCCAUUUUCGACAUUAUGAUACUCUCUUCUUCCCCUGAGCUGUGUUGGACUCCAAUUCCAACUCAUCUAAAGGGCACAAGGGUGGCCAACAUGUUUUAAAACAGUCCAUUGCAAUCACUCAAUUAAAAAUAAUAUUUAAAUUACAUCUAAAUGAAAAUGAC